UCAUAACAUACAGAUCGCCAUUUCAGAAAACGAAUUGCUGUUGCUGCUUUUGUAUCAAACUGCCCGCCUCGUUUUUACGCGUUUAAACGUUCAAAUUACAAUCAUGGAUGCAUAUUUUGAUGAGUACGAUUUCUACAACUUCGACGAGCUUCAUAGCCAUUCCAGUGGAAAGGGUAGAUCGAAGAAGGAGGUUGCGCAGAACCAAAGAUAUGAUCCCAAUUUUGACGUUCGUACGACCGUGACAAAAUACAGAAAUACAGAAAUCAAGAAAAAGGAAAAACUCAAAAAAAUGACAAAGUACUGAAGAGUUUUACAUAACUUUAUUACGGGUAUAUUUUAACUGGACACUGACCAGGAAAAUCUGCUUGACAACGGCUGUGAUCAUGGAAAUAAACAUGACAUUAAAGGGUCACCUGACCCUAUUGGACUGGUGUUGUCAAGGCAACCAUCAGAAUGGCGACAGACAGGAAAGGCGGGGUCGGCGGGAGAGAUUAUCUCCUUGCCACCUUGCAAAACCUUGGUAUUACCUUGUCUACUGUUGCAUAUCAUGAGGCUGGUGAACGGGAUGGUAUGUGCGGCGUCUUCUGUAAAAACCUUUUUCUAAAAGAUCGAAAAGGGACUUUCUAUCUCAUAAUCUGUGAAGAAGACUGCAAAGUAGAUUUGAAGUGGUUGAAACGUCACCUCAACGCCGCUCGUAACUUCUCUUUCGCUUCAGCUGAUGACCUGUACGCACAACUUCAUAUUAAUCCUGGAAGUGUAAGCCCCUUCGCUUUGAUAAAUAACACCCGACGUGACAUACAAGUCAUUAUCGAUAGAAAUUUACAACCUUAUAACAACUCAUUAAACUUUCACCCGCUAGAUUCCAAAGAAACCUCGUUGAUUUCAUUUGAUGAUUUAAUUCGUUUUCUUGAUCACCUUGGUUACCAACCGGUCAUAACCGAUAUGCAUCAAAUGUAGGAGUCAUUGAGUACAAAAGCUUAUUUUCAUGGCAAAAUGUUUUUUUGUGAGUUUAUUGUAAAUGUUUACAUUUUUCAUGUACAGAAAAUAAAAAGUUCCUGACAAAAAAAAA